CGUGAAGUUCUCCACAAUUUGCAAACCAACCCAUCUCAUCUGAUUUCAGAAGCUAAGCAGAGUCAGGAUUGGUUAGUUCUUAGAUGGAAAACUGCUAGAAAAUACCAGGGAUCUCUAGGU
rnacentral:rRNA from 1 species